rnacentral:lncRNA from 1 species
AUUUUCUAAUAGUUUUCUCUAAUUUCAGACCAAAUUUUGUUUUCCUGCUUCUCAGGCAGCUAAUUAUGACAUAGCAGAAUAUAGAAGCUUAGUCACAACUUUAGUAUUUGCAGCAAAAACAGUUACUUGGGGACGACUUGUAAGUUUUCUGGCGAUUCAAACACUAAUUCAAGUAAACAGUACCAACCUAAAGAAACUCUAGUUUUUAUUGGAUUGAUUAAGUAUGCUCUGCAAACUUUGGAUAUUUAUAAGUUAACAGUCCCUACUCCUGGAGAAGCUGUUCAGCAGCGACCAAUGACGUUAGAAGGACCACUUAGACCUACUACUAAGAAUUCAAGUCCUGCUUUAUCCAAAUUUGAACCCCAUUCAACGAGUCAUCCUGUUGAGAUUAGAGUCAUCUAUCUCAAAUAUCAAGUCCAGUCCUGUUUGUAAUCUUAAACCGGGCUAUACCUGACCUGAAAUUGAGUGAAAAAUACACUGAACAGGAAAAACAUCCUAAUUUGGGUGUAAGUAAAGGAAACCACUUGUGUACUGUAGAUGUUUCUUUUAGAUAUGAAAUAUCUUUUUGUGAUACAGAACAGACAUUCUCAUCUGUUGAAGGAAAUAUGUGUAUUUUUCAUCAGAUAUCAUAUAUAUAUCAGCUCAUCAUUUGUGUACAAAAAUGGAAAAUAUUUGUUUUGAAUUCAUAUAAAAAUUUCAA